rnacentral:rRNA from 1 species
AUACGAAGGGGGCAAGCGUUGUUCGGAAUAACUGGGCGUAAAGCGCACGUAGGCGGAAUGUUAAGUUAGAGGUGAAAUCCCAGGGCUCAACCCUGGAACGGCCUUUAAUACUGGCAAUCUAGAGACCGAGAGAGGUGAGUGGAAUUCCGAGUGUAGAGGUGAAAUUCGUAGAUAUUCGGAGGAACACCAGUGGCAAAGGCGGCUCACUGGCUCGGUUCUGACGCUGAGGUGCGAAAGCGUGGGGAGCAAACAGGAUUAGAAACCCUAGUAGUCC